UGAUAAAAUGGGGUGUCUGGACUGCUGAGCUGAGCAAUCCUCAUCCUGCCACCGAGACUGUGUUGCUCCGCGGGGACGCCCGCUAAGUCUGGGCACCGACCAGCUGCUGCAGAUCCUGACAGCCCUGGCCUGUCUGUGUGGGUCAGCACAGUUUAUUGAGAGGAAGCAACCGAGAGAA